GAUGAACGCUGGCGGCGUGCCUAAUACAUGCAAGUCGAGCGAACAGACGAGGAGCUUGCUCCUCUGACGUUAGCGGCGGACGGGUGAGUAACACGUGGAUAACCUACCUAUAAGACUGGGAUAACUUCGGGAAACCGGAGCUAAUACCGGAUAAUAUAUUGAACCGCAUGGUUCAAUAGUGAAAGACGGUUUUGCUGUCACUUAUAGAUGGAUCCGCGCCGCAUUAGCUAGUUGGUAAGGUAACGGCUUACCAAGGCAACGAUGCGUAGCCGACCUGAGAGGGUGAGCGGCAACAUGGAAACUGAGCCACGGCCCAGCCCCCUGCGGAGGGCGCAAGUGGGGAUUCUUCCGCAAGGGGCGAAAGCCGGAGGGAGCAACGCCGAGUGAUGGAUAAAGGUGUUCGUAUCGAAAAACUCUUUUAUUGGGGAAAAAAAAAUGUGAAAGAACAUAUGCACGUCGGGAGGGUCCCUAAUAAAAAACCCACGGCAAACUACGUG
rnacentral:rRNA from 1 species